UACGUAGGGUGCGAGCGUUGUCCGGAAUUAUUGGGCGUAAAGAGCUCGUAGGCGGCCUGUUGCGUCCGCUGUGAAAUCCCGGGGCUCAACCCCGGGCUUGCAGUGGAUACGGGCUGGCUAGAGGCAGGCAGGGGAGAACGGAAUUCCCGGUGUAGCGGUGAAAUGCGCAGAUAUCGGGAGGAACACCGGUGGCGAAGGCGGUUCUCUGGGCCUGUACUGACGCUGAGGAGCGAAAGCGUGGGGAGCGAACAGG
rnacentral:rRNA from 1 species